rnacentral:rRNA from 1 species
GACGAACGCUGGCGGCGUGCCUAAUACAUGCAAGUCGAGCGGACAGAAGGGAGCUUGCUCCCGGAAGUUAGCGGCGGACGGGUGAGUAACACGUGGGCAACCUACCCUGUAGAUCGGGAUAACAUCGAGAAAUCGGUGCUAAUACCGGAUAAUCAUUUGAAGUGCAUGCUUCGAAUGUAAAAGAUGGCUCCGGCUAUCACUACGGGAUGGGCCCGCGGCGCAUUAGCUAGUUGGUAAGGUAAUGGCUUACCAAGGCAACGAGGCGUAGCCGACCUGAGAGGGUGAGCGGCCACACUGGGACUGAGCCACGGCCCAGACUCCUACGGGAGGCAGCAGUAGGGAAUCUUCCGCAAUGGACGAAAGUCUGACGGAGCAACGCCGCGUGAGUGAUGAAGGUUUUCGGAUCGUAAAGCUCUGUUGUUAGGGAAGAACAAGUGCCGUUUGAAUAAGGCGGCACCUUGACGGUACCUAACCAGAAAGCCACGGCUAACUACGUGCCAGCCGCCGCAGUAAAAC